GUCGAACGGUAACAGGUCUUCGGACGCUGACGAGUGGCGAACGGGUGAGUAAUACAUCGGAACGUGCCCAGUCGUGGGGGAUAACUACUCGAAAGAGUAGCUAAUACCGCAUACGAUCUGAGGAUGAAAGCGGGGGACCUUCGGGCCUCGCGCGAUUGGAGCGGCCGAUGGCAGAUUAGGUAGUUGGUGGGAUAAAAGCUUACCAAGCCGACGAUCUGUAGCUGGUCUGAGAGGACGACCAGCCACACUGGGACUGAGACACGGCCCAGACUCCUACGGGAGGCAGCAGUGGGGAAUUUUGGACAAUGGGCGAAAGCCUGAUCCAGCAAUGCCGCGUGCAGGAUGAAGGCCUUCGGGUUGUAAACUGCUUUUGUACGGAACGAAAAAGCUUCUCCUAAUACGAGAGGCCCAUGACGGUACCGUAAGAAUAAGCACCGGCUAACUACGUGCCAGCAGCCGCGGUAAUACGUAGGGUGCGAGCGUUAAUCGGAAUUACUGGGCGUAAAGCGUGCGCAGGCGGUUAUGUAAGACAGAUGUGAAAUCCCCGGGCUCAACCUGGGAACUGCAUUUGUGACUGCAUGGCUAGAGUACGGUAGAGGGGGAUGGAAUUCCGCGUGUAGCAGUGAAAUGCGUAGAUAUGCGGAGGAACACCGAUGGCGAAGGCAAUCCCCUGGACCUGUACUGACGCUCAUGCACGAAAGCGUG
rnacentral:rRNA from 1 species